rnacentral:piRNA from 1 species
UCUCAAAUGAACCCCUGCUGAUGGAGAGG